AGAGCGAACGCUGGCGGCAGACCUAACACAUGCAAGUCGAACGGACUCUUCGGAGUUAGUGGCGGACGGGUGAGUAACACGUGGGAACGUGCCUUUAGGUUCGGAAUAGCUCCUGGAAACGGGUGGUAAUACCGAAUGUGCCCUUCGGGGGAAAGAUUUAUCGCCUUUAGAGCGGCCCGCGUCUGAUUAGCUUGUUGGUGAGGUAAUGGCUCACCAAGGCUACGAUCAGUAGCUGGUCUGAGAGGAUGACCAGCCACAUUGGGACUGAGACACGGCCCAAACUCCUACGGGAGGCAGCAGUGGGGAAU
rnacentral:rRNA from 1 species